CUUUUGGUUGUCUCCAUGUGUCUUUGUAGGAAACAGACCUGUGGUUGGGCUUUGAUGAAGCAGCAGUGUAGACUUCACAAUUCUGUAGUAAUGGUCUAAUUUAUCCCACAAACUUUCCCCCUCGGGUUUAGGAAGGUUAAUACUUUUAAGUGGCUCAUAAAUUGAACCUGAACGUUUGGUGCGAGCCCGCAACUCCAGCAUCUUCCAGCUGACGUCGGCCAUAUGGGCCGCCGCCGCCGCGGCCACCGCCGCCAUCCCGACGAGCUGCCUCCGCUCCCGCCGCUCCGCUCGCACCGGGACGCUGCCGUCCCCUCGGCGCCGCGGCGGCGAUCUCCGCCCGGUUACCACCGCCGGCCGUAAGC
rnacentral:lncRNA from 1 species